GAUGAACGCUGGCGGCGUGCCUAAUACAUGCAAGUCGAGCGAACAGACGAGGAGCUUGCUCCUUUGGCGUUAGCGGCGGACGGGUGAGUAACACGUGGAUAACCUACCUAUAAGACUGGGAUAACUUCGGGAAACCGGAGCUAAUACCGGAUAACAUGUUGAACCGCAUGGUUCAACAGUGAAAGACGGUCUUGCUGUCACUUAUAGAUGGAUCCGCGCCGCAUUAGCUAGUUGGUAAGGUAACGGCUUACCAAGGCAACGAUGCGUAGCCGACCUGAGAGGGUGAUCGGCCACACUGGAACUGAGACACGGUCCAGACUCCUACGGGAGGCAGCAGUAGGGAAUCUUCCGCAAUGGGCGAAAGCCUGACGGAGCAACGCCGCGUGAGUGAAGAAGGUCUUCGGAUCGUAAAACUCUGUUAUUAGGGAAGAACAAAUGUGUAAGUAACUAUGCACGUCUUGACGGUACCUAAUCAGAAAGCCACGGCUAACUACGUG
rnacentral:rRNA from 1 species